UCCAGAUCUUGGCAUUGGCUCGAUAUUCUUGCACGAAAUUUCUAAGAAAAUGUACUCCCUUGGAUGUCGAAAUAUUUUUGGUUAUUUUGAUGAGAAUGAAGUUGGACUAAAGCGUUGGUACGCCGCAGAGGGUUAUGAAAGCCUCACAGAGAAGCAUAAUUUUCAUCUUUAUUCGCAAUCAGGAGAGAAACUAAGAAGAUAUAUCCAUCGAGAUGGUCAUUAUGAUGAAUACCUUGAAAAGGCCUCAUCACGCGGUAUUCAUAUCCAAUCAACUAUAUCAAAGGAUGACGGUGGAAUUUAAAUAUUUUGCACUUGAGAUGUACAUCCUCUGAUAUGAAAUCAGAGCAAAUUUCGGCUGAGUCGAGUGGAUGAUGUCGGGAGGUGGUGUAUGGUGAUUUUGUAUGAUUUUCGUCUGGGGAGGGGGGGGGGGGGCAAGGCGUUCUUCUCACAUUGGCUGCUGUACAAUACCCCCCCCCCCUCCCACCCCAUCAACACCAAAUAGCCGCCCGUGUUGGUGUUACAUAAAAGAAAAUGAUGAAAUCAUGAUGAAAAAUAAGAGAGAUGUAUAUAUCCUUGAUUAUAAUUCUUAUACUGUGGACAAAAUUAUGCAAUCAUGACAGACUGGGGGGAGGCCGAGGUGGAUGACAUCUGAGAAUAUAUUGGUAUUUUAUGAAUGCAAAUAAAUCGAAAUAUAUAAUGUAAAAGAGCAUCCAAUUACUAAAAGUAGUGAAAAUAGUCCCAAUUUAAAAAGUGUGGGAAGGGGGGGGGGAUGUAGAUCAGAUUCUCUUUAUAUAUAUAUAUAUAUAUAUAUAUAUAUUGUAAAAAAAAGAAAGGUUCAUUUAAUGUUCAGCGUGGUUUUUGAACGGUGAAGAGCGUAUAAUAAUGUUUAAUCCAUGUAUACAGUUACAUUGAGGGAAAUUCAGUAAUCAUUUGUAAUCGACUACGCAGGGAUUUACUUUGAGAUAUAUAUAUAUAUAUAUUUUGCUGAGAAAUAACGAUAUUAAAAAUUUUAUGAUUAUCUUUAAUGUGUUCUUUUUUCACUUUUGGUACAAAAAAAACAUUAACCAUCACGGUCGCUAAAAACAUUUGUUUACGAUCUUAACUGUGUUUUAAAUAAUGUCAAACUAUAUUGAUCGACAAGCGGCACUGCAUCAUUGAUUGAGAUAUAUUUCUUGCAUAAUCUUGCGAUAAGAGUUACCACGGUUCGUCUUGUUUACGAAUAAGCCCAAAUACGCACGAGAUAUCCAUGCUAAGUAAUACUAAUAACCUACUUUUAAAUGUUGUCAAAACUUGCCAAAUUUGUUUAUAAAAAAACUUUCUGAAUUUAGAAAGUAGAUGUUAAAGGUAUAUUAAACCUGCAUGCAUGUUAAUAUUGUAAAUAAUGGUGUGUUAUAUUUUAAUGUUUUCUCUUAUGCCAUCUUUUUGUUCUCAUACAAUGUAUUAUACCUGUUAAACAUAUGUGUAUUUCUCAUACCCCAAAAGGGGUCGGCAGAAAUUUGCAAAUAAAGUUUGAAAUGUGUAAUUUGUA